AGAGAUGAUGGGGUUGAUAGGCCGGAUCUGUAAGCAUUGUGAGGUGUUGAGGUGACCGGUACUAAUAAACCGAC
rnacentral:rRNA from 1 species